rnacentral:tRNA from 1 species
UAUUAAAUAUCUUAAAUGUAAGAAUUGAUUUUUUAAUUCAAUGAUAAUAAAGUUACGAAUAUUUUUAAUUA